GACAGAGGAUGCAAGCGUUAUCCGGAAUGAUUGGGCGUAAAGCGUCUGUAGGUGGCUUUUUAAGUCCGCCGUCAAAUCCCAGGGCUCAACCCUGGACAGGCGGUGGAAACUACCAAGCUGGAGUACGGUAGGGGCAGAGGGAAUUUCCGGUGGAGCGGUGAAAUGCGUAGAGAUCGGAAGGAACGCCCGUGGCGAAAGCGAGCUCCUGGACGUUCACUGACGCUGAGACGCGAAAGCCAGGGGAGCGAACGGG
rnacentral:rRNA from 1 species